CCUACGGGCGGCAGCAGUCGAGAAUCAUUCACAAUGGGGGAAACCCUGAUGGUGCGACGCCGCGUGGGGGAAUGAAGGUCUUCGGAUUGUAAACCCCUGUCAUGUGGGAGCAAAUUAAAAAGAUAGUACCACAAGAGGAAGAGACGGCUAACUCUGUGCCAGCAGCCGCCGUAAUACAGAGGUCUCAAGCGUUGUUCGGAAACACUGGACGUAAAGGGUGCGGAGGCUGUUUCGUAAGUCGGGUGUGAAAGGCGCGGGCUCAACCCGCGGACGGCACAUGAUACUGCGAGACUAGAGUAAUGGAGGGGGAACCGGAAUUCUCGGUGUAGCAGUGAAAUGCGUAGAUAUCGAGAGGAACACUCGUGGCGAAGGCGGGUUCCUGGACAUUAACUGACGCUGAGGCACGAAGGCCAGGGGAGCGAAAGGGAUUAGAUACCCCUGUAGUC
rnacentral:rRNA from 1 species